rnacentral:rRNA from 1 species
UGGGGAAUUUUGGACAAUGGGCGAAAGCCUGAUCCAGCAAUGCCGCGUGUGUGAAGAAGGCUUACGGGUUGUAAAGCACUUUUGUCCGGAAAGAAAUGGCUCUGGUUAAUACCUGGGGUCGAUGACGGUACCGGAAGAAUAAGGACCGGCUAACUACGUGCCAGCAGCCGCGGUAAUACGUAGGGUCUAAGCGUUAAUCGGAAUUACUGGGCGUAAAGCGUGCGCAGGCGGUUGUGCAAGACCGAUGUGAAAUCCCCGAGCUUAACUUGGGAAUUGCAUUGGUGACUGCACGGCUAGAGUGUGUCAGAGGGGGGUAGAAUUCUACGUGUAGCAGUGAAAUGCGUAGAGAUGUGGAGGAAUACCGAUGGCGAAGGCAGCCCCCUGGGAUAACACUGACGCUCAUGCACGAAAGCGUGGGGAGCAAACAGG